CUCGAAAGCAUCACGCCCGGCAUCACGUAGCCUAUUUGGGCUCAAAGGACCCUGACAAACC
rnacentral:rRNA from 1 species